rnacentral:rRNA from 1 species
AGCGAACGCUGGCGGCAGGCUUAACACAUGCAAGUCGAGCGGGCACUUCGGUGUCAGCGGCAGACGGGUGAGUAACACGUGGGAACGUGCCCUUCGGUUCGGAAUAACUCAGGGAAACUUGAGCUAAUACCGGAUACGCCCUUUGGGGAAGGUUUACUGCCGAAGGAUCGGCCCGCGUCUGAUUAGCUAGUUGGUGGGGUAAGUGGCCGUACCAAGGCGACGAUCAGUAGCUGGUCUGAGAGGAUGAUCAGCCACACUGGGACUGAGACACGGCCCAGACUCCUACGGGAGGCAGCAGUGGGGAAUAUUGGACAAUGGGCGCAAGCCUGAUCCAGCCAUGCCGCGUGAGUGAUGAAGGCCUUAGGGUUGUAAAGCUCUUUCGACGGGGACGAUAAUGACGGUACCCGUAG